ACAUUUUACUCAUUUGUUUGUUUAUUAUUUGCACCUGUCAUCAUGUAAGUUUCAUGAGGUCAGGGAUUUUAGUUUUUUAGACUUAUUCAUUACUAUAUAUACAGCCUGGUAUAAAAAUAAAAAAACAUGAUGAAAGGUAUGUCUGAUUAAUCCCAAGUUUACUAACGAGCAAAACCAAGUCUGGUAGGUAUUCAAAUAUUAUUAAUAGUUAAGUAAACACUGACAAGGCACCUAGCAUAGACCAUGCCCAGGUCCCAGAGGUGCUGGGUGUCAAGAUUCUGUACUAACUUAGGAGGGUUGCAAGACCUAGGUUGAAGCCUUUUAGAUGUGAUGUGAUAAAAAGCAAAUUCACAUUUCCCAGCUUUCACCAGAAUCUGGCAAAGGAUGAAUUAGAUUUUUAGGGACAGUGGUUCUCAAUCCAAGCUACACAUUAGAAUCUGCUGGGAGCUUGAAAAAAAAAAUCCUGAUGCCCAAGCCACACCCUAGACAACGAAAUCAGACUCUCUGAGGAUGGAGCAUCAGCACUUUUAAUGCUCCUCAGGUGAUUCCGAUGUGCAGCCAGGGCUGAGAACCACUGUGCUAGAAGUUUAGAGAAGGGCGGGUAGCACCCUUGUUAUCCGAGGGGAAUGAGUGUUGGGAAACAGUCUCCUGACCGAACACACUCAAAGUGUCGACAACUCCUUUAAUAUGAAUACUUUCGGCAGUUUGAAUCACGGUGCGACGGAGGAGUAGGUGGUGGGAUCUCGCCGUGGGUCUGAUUAGCUCUUUCUCCGCCUUGCUGGCUUGAGCUUCAGCAGAAUUCGAAAUGGCUGGAGGUAAGGCUGGGAAGGACUCCGGAAAGGCCAAGACAAAGGCGGUUUCUCGCUCACAGAGAGCCGGCUUGCAGUUCCCAGUGGGCCGUAUUCAUCGACACCUGAAAUCCAGGACGACCAGCCAUGGACGUGCGGGCGCGACUGCCGCUGUGUACAGCGCAGCCAUUCUGGAGUACCUGACUGCAGAGAUGCUGGAACUGGCAGGAAAUGCAUCAAAAGACUUAAAGGUAAAGGUAUGACCCCUCGUCACUUGCAACUUGCUAUUCGUGGAGAUGAAGAGUUGGAUUCUCUCAUCAAGGCUACAAUGGCUGGUGGUGGUGUCAUUCCACAUAUCCACAAAUCUCUGAUUGGGAAGAAAGGACAACAGAAGACCGUCUAAAGGAUGCCUGGAUUCCUUGUCAUCUCAGGACUCGAAAUACUCUAACAGCUGUCCAGGGUUGGUGAUUCCAGUGGACUGUAUCUCUGUGAAAAACACAAUUUUGCCUUUUGGUAAUUCUAUUUGAGCAAGUUGGAAGUUCAAUUAGCUUUCCAACCAACCUAAUUUCUGCAUUCGAGUCUUAACCAUAUUUAAGUGUUACUGUGGUUUCAAAAAAGCUAUUGAUUCUGAAGUAGUGGGUUUUGAUUGAGUUGACUGUUUUUAAAAAACUGUUUGGAUUUUAAUUGUGAUGCAGAAGUUAUAGUGACAAACAUUUGGUUUUGUACAGACAUUAUUUCCACUCUGGUGGAUAAGCUCAAUAAAGGUCAUAUCCC